GUGGAGGAAACAACCAAAGGGGGGCCCAGCUGAGCUCCGCGCCCUGGUGUCCACUCUCCACGGUGUCCCCGUGGGUGACCCAGCCUGUUCUUUGUCCCCUGCCCUCUGAUUCCCCUCCUGUCAGUGCAGAGGGGAGGGGCUGGCUCCCAUCACGCAGACCCCUCUCUCUGGGGGCACCUCUCUCAGUCCACCUGGCUUCUCUCCUUCCAGCUCAGCGUGCCCUGUGUCCGUGGGAAUCCCAGCACUGCUUCCUCUUCAAGUCUAUCUAGAAGUUCACCGGCCAGCUCAGCCCGUGCUGAACAAUUCUGGAACAGUCCUUGGAUCGCCUUGGAAAAGGGGGAGAUCUGCACGGGGGAAGCACUGCUGCUCACAUCCAAGGGGGUCUGUGUGUCCAUCAGCGGUGCUCAGUGGUGGACAGCCCAGAGCCUGAACUGAACGCCACAUUCUCCAUGUCAGCUUUUUCAGUCAUGACCAGGACAUUUUGAUCUUCACCUGCCUGCCAAACUCAGAUUGUGCACAGGCUCAGCAUCUGUGGCACCCACCUGGAAGGCUCAGAGGGUUGGAGCACCACGGCUCCCUCCUUCCCGGGGUCACCCCCAUGCAGCCCUCCGAGGCGAGGCUCCGGCACAAGCCUGAUCCAUCCAAAAUCCAAGGA